CUCCAUCUUGCCUCUCCAUAUCAUUACAAAACCAACAUGGACAGCACAUUGUAAUUCAUGGUUUAGCUUCGCUUAAAUUCUGUACAAAUUGAUCAAAUUGCUGAAAAAACGUUUAUGGUACUGAUUCAAGUCCCCCAAAGUUGAUGUCCCAACGCUCAGAGUUUCCUCUCAGCUAUCAAGUUUCUUGUUAAAAUAAUUCGGCAGAUUAGCAUGUGGUUGAAUGGACAACUGUUGAGAACAACGUUUGUGAAGAAAAGUGAUACUUUCACAAAUGAAGGGCACAAAGAUUCUCAGGUUGUCUUCUCUUAGAAGGAAAUACUAGUGGGACAUAUAAUGCUCAUUUGUGUAACUUGCUUGACACAUCAUAAGUUCACGUCUGAAAAUGGUUUCUAUUGUGGUCAUACACUUCCAUGGUGUGAAUGGUAGGUUUACCUGCAAGAUCCCACAUACAAUUAGUUCUCUCAACAAGAAACAGAAUGCAUUCCUGUUAUUAUAAACAACACAAGGAAAGAAACUUCAAGGAAAUUAACAAUUACCAUUCACUCAUUAAACAAUCUGAUGAGAUGGAGGGAAUCAGAGACUAUUAAGUAUUCACUCAUAAAACAAUUACCAUUUACAUGGUGAUUUCAAAGAACGCUUCAUAUAUUUCCACUUAAUUGUUUAAUCAUAGAUAUAAAUGUUCCAAAACAAAACUGUUUCUGAAUUUUAGCCUAGAAAGAUUCAUAGAAGCAUGAAGGGAUAACCACAUAGAAAUAAGUACAGUACUGAGAAGUGAGAACCUAAUCUUUGAUAUAAUGCUCAUGGAUUACAACUAGUCUGAAUGGAUGACCACUUCAGUAAUGAAAUCCAACUUUCUUCACACAUGUUUAGAAACCAAUAUGUGCAUGUUGGCAUGUACUUCUCCCAGCAUUGUAGUCUUAUCUCAAAACUUUCAUCCAAGUAUUUUGUAUGCUCUAUCUUGCUCUGAUCCUAUGCUUUCCAGCUGACAUGGAAGUUGGAACAGUGCCCCUCAUAAGGUUCUCCGUACAGGUCUCCAUCUGAAUUAUUCAAGCUGGAGCUGGCCAACAAUUGCUAUGGAGCCCCCAUUUAAAAAGGGUUCUUUUCAUCUUUUGGUCUACAAGGUGUUUCAAUAUUUCAAUUAGGAUAUUACAAAGCAGAAAGACCACUUGGUGGGGAGUUUUUUUGGUAACAGUUACCUCAAGUUUGGGACUCACUGCACAAAGCGUGGAAGGGGAGAGGAGGCAACAGUAAAGCUACAGACAAAGAGCUUGUACUAAAAUUCUUAUGAUGUAGGGAAAUAGAUAAAACUGAUAAUUGGAAAUGUUACAAUUUACUACAAACACAAACUACAGUAAACACAUUUUUAAGUAAAUAACACUGGUUACAGUAUCGGAAAUGUUACAAUUUACUACAAACACAAAUUACAGUAAACACAUUUUUAAGUAUAUAACACUGGUUACAGUUCAAUGCUUGGUAUUUUUUUUUCUUAGCUUGUUAUUCUUAUUGAAAAGAAAGAUCAUAAGACCAUGGGUGAGAAAAUUCUACCACAAAAACCAACAAUGCCUCAACUACAAGGUGUAAAAUCCUCUAACAAACAUUAGAAUUGUAGGAGAAACGUGUCUGGCAGACCUUGACAGUCUCUCCUUUUGAUUGAAUGAAACUAAGUGCUUUAUCCUUAGUCCCACUCCCACACUGGCUCGUGGAUAUUAAGUUAUGGAGUUAAUAUAUGAGUUUUGUGCUUAAUGGGCGUGGCCCUUUGGGUUACAAAGUUUUCGUGCAAAAGCAGAAAUGUUGAACAAAUAAACAACAACAUACACACGCGCUGUUGCCGUCGUCCGUCUGACCAGCUCUAUGUGGCUAAUUGGUAAGUGAACUUAAUUAAAUUGCUGGAUAUUAUUAACGCCUACCAAACAUAUGUGCUUGGUAGAAGUUAAUAUGAUCCAGUAAAAAAUAAGUCCAAUUACCCACAUAGCCCGAGCCGAGUCAGCCGGUCAUACGAGCGACAACGGCAACACGAGCGUGUGUGGUAUUUAUUUGGUUAGCAUUUGCAUUUUUGCGCGGAAACUUUGUAACCCAAAGGGCCACAUAUUUUAAGCCCAAAAUUUAUAUAUCAACUCUAUAACUUAAGGAGAGACCCAUUUCUCCAACAAGAAUGAAUGUACCUCAAAUAAGAGAAUGCAUAAAAAAUUUGUAACCAUUAGCCUAGAAACACACUUAAGAGUUCUUCAUCAAGCCAACCAAAAAUGUCACCAACUUAGAAAAAUCUUCCAAAUUCACUAUCAAAAUGAACUGUCAUUUGAGUAUAGUAGUAUACCUAUGCCAUUUUAGGACUGAUUCAUUAUACCAUGAUUCCAUUAUGCACAUUGCUUCAUGCAUAUGAUAUGGCUCUAUUACACCAUUAACAAAUUUACACAAGAAUGAAGCAACAUACCAAGAUAAAUUUGCCUAUGCACUCUGGGUCUGUGUGUAAUAGUAAUUGGUCCAAAAUGGUUCAAUUGUAUUAUCCUGCCAUUUCCACCAACAUUGACUGAACCACAUACCUAAAUACAUUUGCAGAUUGUUUCCUUUCUAAGUGCUUUUAUUUAACAAUAUAUCUCGUGUCUUAAAUGCUUCUAUUAACCACAACACUGAUACUCCAGCCUGUCUUUCCUACAGUUUAUUUGGUGAUUGUGUAUGCAUCUGCAACAGCACAGACCCUAAUUUUUGAGGUCUUCAUCUGAAGCCUUACCAACAUUUAUAGUCGGCCAUAUAACUCCAAUCUAAUUCAACUACAGUAUAUGGAUAUUCUGUCAAGAGUCGAGACAUGUUUCAGAACUUGGUGUUACGGUCUAUACUAUGUCAUUUUGGCCAGCAUGUUUUGAUUUGAGAUUUCAAGUGCCAAAACAUUCUUCUCUUCUCUUGUCAUCAUUGGCACAUGUCAGCCAUCUAAACAACUAUAAAUCUAUACUAAGUAUUCUCUUUUCCUAUAUUCUAGUCAUAUCAAUCAUCACUAUCAAGUAUCAAAUUUAUCAUCCUUAACUCUGCUCCACAAAAUUGAAAAUACAUUGUAUCAAGCUUGUGUCAAGAAGCUCAGAAUUUUAAAAGCACAGGCACACAGAAGCACAUUUUGCAUUUAUCAAUAAACAUAAAUAAAUAGCUAGUGACCAUACUCAAUUCAAUAACAAGGACAUUAUUCGUCAUCGCAUGUCACUGGUCCUCACACCACAUGGCCAGCAUUUAACACAUAACUAAAAAUAUAUUCACUUCUACCCCCUAUUCACUUUCUAGAGAUGAAAAGCCAAAAUAUAUCCCAUUCAAGAAGAGCAUAAGGCUGGGGAUAUUGUGAGCUAUUGAACUUGUAAAAACUGAGUAGACUCAUUUCUCAUGAAUGGAAUUAUAUCCUUUUCACCUACAUUCAUUUGUUUGUUUUCUUUUGCCAACAAAAAGAAAAUACCAACCAAACUUUUCAUUUUAAAAGAAACACCAAACUCAUUUAGGCAUUCAUCAUCAUGAGCUAUAUUUAUGAAUUUGGUAUAUCUGUCAAGGAAAACAUCUCAGAAGGUGACUAACUGGAAAGAUGAAACAUCCCUACUAUUUUUAUUCUUAACUUUUGUCUCAAGAUGAUCAAACUUAAGAGGUCUCAGACAAAUGUUAAAUCAGAUCAGGAGCCAACCUAAUAACAUGAUUGAAGCAUAUAUCAGUGCACCAUAGCAUGGAUCUGUCGACACAGUUCUAAAUCCAAAAUAAACAUCCAGUAAUUUCAUAUCAAAUUUAUUUUUAGGCCUUUGAAAUAGAAUUUUUGAAAAUAAAUUCUGGGUUUACCAAGCUUUUACCUCAACUUGCCUCACUUACAAUUGUUAAAGAUAAUGGGUGUGAAAGCCAAAGAGUUGGUUGGUCAUAUCAACUUUUAAAAAAGAAUAAUCAAGAAUCCACUACAUCUCAUAGGAUUAAGAAUAUGAGAUGAAGUUACUAGAUCUUUAUUCUGGAUCUGAAGCUAUGGCGACUGAUCUAAACUUUGGUCAAUCGAUAUCUACGGAAGCUUUUGCUACAAGGGUUGUUGAUAGGAAUAAACAUGCAUGUAAGAGUCUUAACUUAAACCAUUAUGAUAAAAGGUCAGAAAUAGAAGUGUGAAAAACUUUUUAUCGGUCAUGGACUCGCCACCCGUUAUUAGAAUUUCUGAAAGUGUUUGAAGUUCAAGAUGAAUGUAUUCUUCUCUUCUUGAGGUAUUUAAAGAUAUUACAAGCCAAAUAAGGCAGUUAUACAAAUAAUAUAUAUCAUAUAUUUGGCAUAUAUUACAGGCCAUAUAUAGUAGAUAUAGGAAAUAUUCACACAAAUAACAUGUGUUAAACAUGGGCUAGUCUACACUAAGGAUUAGCUUUAACACUCCCCCGCAAACUUGGCAGUCUUUGGUGGACAAGUUUGGAGCGCAAGAGCUGAAAGCGAUGCUUGUGAAGACCCUUAGUGAAUAUAUCAGCAGUUUGAUCAAUGGAGGGAACAAACUGUACACGGUGAGUUCCAGAAGUAACCUGCUCUCGAACAAAGUGAUAGUCUAGCUCAAUGUGCUUAGUACGAGCAUGAAAGACAGGAUUAGAAGCCAUGUAUGUAGUGCUAAGGUUGUCACAGUAGAGCGUAAUGGGCGUAGAUACUGGCAAGUGAAAAGCUCGCGAAGAAGGUGAGCAAUCCACACUGUCUCAGCACACACAUAGGCAAGGGAACGGUACUCCGACUCUGCACUGGAACGGGCGACAGUAGGCUGUUUCUUGGUACUCCAAGAGAUGAGGUUGGGCCCCAAAAACACACAAAAUCCUGAAACAGACCGUCUCGUAUCUGGACAACCAGCCCAAUCAGCGUCCGAAAAGGCAUGUAGUGCUAAAGUGCCUAAGGAUGGUCUUAGGCUUAAGCCGAAAUCCACAGUACCUUUAAGAUAACGCAGAAUGUGUUUAACUGCAGUAAAAUGAGUUGUACGCGGUACACUCAUAAACUGAGCAACGUGGUGCACGACAUAGGAAAUAUCAGGUCUGGUAAGUGUUAGAUACUGAAGAGAGCCAACCAGCUGACGAAAUUCAGUAGCAUCGGAAAGAGGGUCACCAUCCAAAGCAGAGAGUUGUGACUUAGCAGUACAAGAGUGUUACAUGGUUGGCACUCAGCCAUGUUGCUAUGGCGUAGAAGAUCAAGAGUGUACUUGGUUUGUGAGAGAUGAAGGCCAGAGCGGGAAAAAGAAGCCUCAAGUCCCAAGAAAUAGUGAAGUGGACCGAGAUCUUUAAUCUCAAACUCUCUGCUAAGAAUGGAGAUAAAAGAUGAUAACAAUGAUGGCAUGUUGCCUGUGAGCACUAUGUCGUCCAUAUAUAAAAGAAGUACCAUAAUCUGGGAAGAGCAUCGAAAAAUGAACAUAGAAUGAUCAGCUCUGCUUUGUGUGAAACCAUAUUGCACAAUGAAAUUGUUGAACCGUGUAAACCAUGCACGUGGGGCCUGCUUCAAGCUAUAAAUAGCUUUGUUAAGACGACAUACAUGAUGAGGAUGUUGAGGGUGACCAAAACUAGGCGGCUGAGUCAUGAAGACUGUUUCGUGAAGAAAUCCAUGCAAAAAUGCAUUCUUCACAUCUAAUUGUCCUGACCAGCCAAAGGAUACUGCAAGACUGAGUAAUCAUCGGAUGAGGCUGAGGAGGCGGAUGAAUAUCAUGUGAUGCCUCAGUUGGAUCUCCGGAUGUAUUGGUAUUUGUAGAGGGUGCAGAGGCCAGGUCAUGCUCACAGGCAGGCAAUGAGUCAGAUAUUGGAUGAAUGGAAUCAGAAUCAAGGCGCGGUGGAGCUGCAGAAAUAGGCUGUGGCACUGAAUGAUGGCGUCGCUCAUUGUGUCGAGCAAAUAAAUGUUCUGGUCUCUGGAUAGGUGCAUUCAGCUGUGAGGGCUCUGGAGUUGCAGAAAUAGGCUCUGGAGCUGGUGUGAUAACAGGUACAAAGGCGAUCUCAUUAACUGGUUUAACUGCCAUAGAAGAUUGACGUUGUGCGUAUGGAAAAGAUGACUCACAUGGCGAGAAAUGUAUACCUUGUUGGUCACCAUGUCAAGACACCUAUAUCCUUUAUGCUGAGAGCUGUAACCUAAGAAAACACAUUCAAUGGUUCUUGGCAACAGUUUGUUAGUGAAAUAUGCACCUAAGUGGGGAUAACAUGCACAACCGAAGGUGCGAAGACCAGUGUAAGACGGGGUGUGACCAAAAAGGCGAGAGAAAGGGGAGGCCCAUUCUAAAACGGGAGUGGGGAGGCGGUUUAUGAGAUAAACGGCAGUGGAGACUACCUCAACCCAAAGAGUGGGUGGCACACUACUUGUAGCUAAAAGUGUGCGGGCCAUUUUAGAGAUAUGACGAUGCUUGCGUUCUGCAAGACCAUUCUGUUGUGGAGUGUGUGGACAAGACAAACGAUGGUGAAUCCCAAGAGAGUUGCACAGUUUAGACAUAGGACCAUUGACAAACUCAGUACCCCCAUCACUAUGAAGGUACUUAAUGGUGGGGUUAGUGGUUCUUUAUGAUGCCAAAAAGGUUGUAAAAUGCGUAUAAACUUCGGAUUUUCAUCGCAUGGGAUAUAUCCAAGUAUAACGACUAUAGUCAUCAGUAAACAAAGAUAGUAUUUAAAUCCAGAAACCGAAGUGAUAGGAGACAUCCAAACAUCCGAAUGCAACAAGUUAAAAGGAAUAGUGGCACUUAUUUUAUUGCUAGAAAAUUGAAGAUGCAAUCAUUUACAAAAGGACAUCCGAAUGCAACAAGUUAAAAGGAAUAGUGGCACUUCUUUUAUUCCUAGAAAAUUGAAGAUGCAAUCCUUUAUAAAAGUACUUAGUAAAACGAAAAUCAGAAUCAAGCAUUUUAUUGGACCCAAGAAAUGACAAAACUCUACUGGACGGAUGACCUAAGCGACUGUGUCAUAGGGAGGAUGACUGAGCAACCAAUGCACGAGGAACUGGGCGAGCUGAAGAUAAUGGAUAUAGGCCAUCCCUACAUUGGCCUUGAAACAAGGGAACAUCAGUGGUCAAGUCAGAAAUAGCAAAUUUGUCAGGCUAAAACGUAAACUUGACAUGAUUAUCUUUAGUGAAUUUUGCAACAAAAAGAAGAUUUGUACGCAUAGCAGGAAUAUGAUAGACAAUACGCAACUGGAAUGAAUUUGGACCAACUGAAAGGGAAAUGUUACCAGUGUUUUUGAUAGGAAGAUGAGAGCGAUUGCCGAGAAAUACAUCAUCAGAACUAGCAUAAGGGGUUAAGUGUUGCAUAGGUUGAGAAUCACCAGUCAUGUGGUUAUUAGGACCUGAAUCAGAGUACCAAGUAUGAGACACGGCUUGUGACGGUCGAUAACCAGGAUUGGAACUUGCAUCCCAGCAAAUGUAGUCUGCAAUUUAUUAGCAACUUGAUAGGAAGGAGGGUUUGUCAACCGUUGUUGCAACUGAGGACAAGUGUGCACAAGAUGCCCAAUGCCAUUGCAAUACUAACAAAUAGGCCCUGGUGGAGGCCCAAGAAUACCAGAAUCAUUUGAGAGAGGAUUAGACCCGCGGUGGUUGUUGUUUCGAUUGUUGCGACCUCGAUUGCGGUUACCAUUGUUACCUUGACCAGGACUACGCAAGUCAGAAUUUGAUCCAGGAUUCCCAAGAGGCUGAUAUUGUUAACGUUAAAGUUUGAAUAAGUCUGUCCAACAGUUGAGUAGGUCUCAAACAUGGAUAAGUGUUUUGCUAUUUCAUAGGAAUCUUAGUUGCCGAAGGAGUCGUAGUUGGUUUAUGAUUGUGGUGAUAGGAAGCCGCAAUCCAAGAUAGUUUGUUAGUCAGGAUAGUCUAUAAAACAUCUGUCAGUCCAUGUAUUUUAAAGUCAAGUAAAUCAAUAACAAUUAGUAUUUGGUUUCUUUCUUUUGUUAACAUCUGGUAUCACAGCCAGGUUAACCAAAGUGAGUGUGUGAGAUUAAAAGAGCAACGCAGCUCUUGAGAGUGAGAAUUAGAGCAGCAGCUCUAGAGUUAUUUGUUGUUUUUUUUUGUCUUGUGAAGGUAGCAGUUUUCUCAAAUGGCAGAGAGGGAGUAUUUCGUGCAACCUGCUAUUCCACGUUUUGAUGGUCAUUACGAUCAUUGGAGUAUGCUUAUGGAGAAAUUCUUAAGGUCUAAGGAGUAUUGGCAUAUUAUUGAAACCGGAAUUUCAGAACCAACAACUGAAGCGGAACGCAGUGCAUUGUCGGCUGUGCAGAAAACAGAAUUGGAGCAACGAAGAUUGAAAGAUCUGAAAGCUAAGAACUAUCUUUUCCAAGCAAUUGAUCGUUCUAUCCUGGAGACCAUUAUAUUCUAUCUAGAGAGUCUGCAAAAGAAAUCUGGGAUUCGAUGAAGAAGAAAUACCAAGGAACUGUAAAGGUGAAGCGAGCACACCUUCAAGUUCUUCGCUCAGAAUUUGAGACUCUUCGUAUGAAAUCUGGUGAGUCGGUUUCAGAUUAUUUUUCACGAACUAUGGCGAUUGCUAAUAAGAUGAGGAUUCAUGGUGAUAAGAUUGCAGAUGUCACCAUUGUAGAGAAGAUUCUUCGAGCGAUGAACACCAAAUUUGAUUAUGUUGUGUGUUCUAUUGAAGAGUCCAAAGAUCUGGCUACACUUUCACUUGAUGAAUUGGAGAGUUCGUUGCUUGUUCGUGAGCAAAGAAUCAAUCAACAAGACGAUGCAGAACAUUCCUUACAAUUAUCUAUAACAAAUUCAUCUAAAGGCAGGGAUUCUGGUCGUGGGCGUGGAAGAGGUGCGAAAACUCAGCCAUUUGGUCGUGGUCAAGGACGUGGUAAUUCUCAUCUAUCGAGGCAGUUUGAUAAGUCCAAAAUCCGUUGCUAUGGCUGCCACAGGUAUGGACAUUUUCGAAAUGAAUGUCCAACACAGGUGUCUGAAGAACAAGAUGAAGAAACUAAUCUUGUUGAGGCUGAAGAUGAACCUACACUUUUAAUGGUUUGCAAUUCAACAGAUGAGACAAAUCGAACCAUGUGGUACUUGGACACCGGAGCAAGUAACCACAUGUGCUGCGAUAAAUCUCUUUUUUCUAAGUUGGAUGAAUCCUUUCGUUCUACGGUAAAACUUGGGAAUGGUUCUCGUCUUCCUGUUAUGGGUAAAGGCAGUAUAAACAUUCAAACUUCAAAGCAUUCUCAGUUUAUUUUUGGUGUGUUUUAUUUGCCGGAAUUAACUAACAACCUGUUGAGUGUUGGUCAAUUUCAGGAAGAUAGCUAUGAAAUUCUUAUUAGAAAGGGAACUUGUCGCAUUCUCCAUCCAGAAAAUGGUCUUAUUGCUGAGGUUAUCAUUACCAAGAAUAGAAUGUUUCCAAUAUAUUUCAACAAUGAUGUAUUUCCUUGUUUUGCUGCUAUGGUGCAUGAUAAAGCAUGGUUAUGGCAUCUUCGUUAUGGGCAUCUCAAUUUUAAUGGUUUGCGAACUCUGCAGCAAAGGAAGAUGGUGAUCGGUCUUCCAAUCAUUGAUCAUCCUCCACAAAUAUGUGAAGGUUGUAUUGUUGCUAAACAACAUCGAGAUGCAUUCCCAACAGGAACUACAUGGAGAGCUAGAGAAGCAUUGGAGCUGGUUCAUUCUGAUAUUUGUGGUCCAAUUGAUCCACCAUCAAAUGGUAAUAAACGGUAUUUUAUUACAUUCAUUGAUGAUUAUUCUCGAAAAAUGUGGGUCUACAUACUGCAGGCAAAGUCAGAAGCUUUCUCCACCUUUCAGACUUAUAAGGCUCUUGUGGAGAAAGAACUCGGCAAACAUAUCAAAGUUUUGCGUUCCGACAGGGGUGGCGAAUAUACUUCAAAAGAAUUCAUUAAUUUUUGUGAUGUUCAUGGCAUUAAAAGGCAAUUGACAACCUCAUAUACCCCACAGCAAAAUGGGGUGGCAGAGAGAAGAAAUCGCACUAUUUUAAACAUGGUGCGAAGCAUGUUGCAGACAUCCGGUAUCCCAAAGAACUUCUGGCCUGAAGCAGUAUUAUGGAGUGCUCAUUUACUGAAUAGAAGUCCAACAAGUGCUGUUCGUAACAUGACUCCUGCUGAAGCAUGGGCUGGAAAUCGACCUAGUGUUUCUCAUUUUCGGGUAUUUGGGUGCAUUGCCUAUGCACAUGUUCCCGACGAAAAACGAAAAAAGCUUGAUGCUAAAAGCGAAAAAUGUGUAUUUCUGGGCCUAAGUGAGCAUUCGAAGGGAUACAAAUUAUAUAAUCCCACCACUAAGAAGCUUGUUAUCAGUCGAGAUGUAAUAUUUGAUGAAGAACAUACAUGGUUAUGGUCUCCUGCUGCUGCCAGUACACAAGUUUUGGUCGAUCAUGAGGCUGACCAUGAGGCUGAAGUUCCUUCUCCUCCAUCUAUUGUUGCUGACCCAUCAUCUUGCAGUUCAGCUGCUACCCUCGAUAACUCGAACGCAGCACCAGAUACUACUCAAAAUGACCACUCUGAUGUUCCUGCAAGGCCUCGACGCACCAAGAGUCAUCCAGCCUGGAUGCACGAUUAUGAGGUAACUGGCAUUAAUUUAAUUGAUGAGACAAUUGCCCAUUUCGCAUUGUUUACAGACUCCGACCCAGUCAGUUUUCACGAGGCAUCUCAAGAUCCAAAAUGGGUGCAAGCUAUGGCAGAUGAGAUUGGUUCCAUUGAGAAGAACAAUACUUGGGAUUUAACUGACUUGCCCAAAGACCACAAACCCAUUGGUGUCAAGUGGGUUUAUCGAACCAAGUUGAAUGCUCGUGGUGAAGUAGACAAAUACAAAGCUCGAUUGGUUGUCAAAGGUUAUAAGCAACAACAAGGCAUCGACUACACUGACGUGUUUGCUCCAGUUGCUAGACAUGAUACCAUUCGGUUAGUACUUGCUUUGGCAGCUCAACAUUCGCAGCCCGUUUUUCAGUUUGACGUGAAGUCCGCGUUUCUUCAUGGAGAACACAAGGUAUAUCGCCUUAAGAAGGCUUUAUAUGGGCUCAAACAAGCUCCGCGUGCCUGGUACACUCGCAUUACUUCUUACUUUAUCAAAUCUGGUUUUGAUCAAUGUCCAUACGAGCCUACUUUAUUUCUGAAAUCUGGUUCUCAAGGUGAAUUUCUUGUGGUGUCUUUAUAUGUGGAUGAUCUGAUCUAUACUAGUAAUAAUCGUUCAAUGCUUGAUGCCUUUAAGUUGUCGAUGAUGAAAGAGUUUGCAAUGACUGAUUUGGGCAUGCUCCACUACUUUCUUGGCAUUAAAGUUGUACAAAGCUCCGCUGGUAUCUUUAUUUCGCAGCAGAAAUAUGUUCAAGAAAUUCUGACGAGGUUCCAACUGGAAGCCUGUAAUGCCGUUAGCACUCCAGUUGAAAUUGGUUUUAAGCUCUCUAAAGAUCUUGAUGGAAAACCAGUUGAUAGUACCAUGUACAAACAAGUGGUUGGUUCUUUGAUGUACUUAACAACAACACGUCCGGACAUUAUGUAUAGUGUGAGUCUUCUCAGUCGCUAUAUGGAACGCCCUACAGAACUGCAUCUCUUGGCUGCUAAGAGAAUUCUGCGAUACUUGCAUGGUACUGUUGCUUAUGGUAUUUUUUAUAGAAAGGGGAUUUCCUCUCAUUUGUUAGGCUACACUGACAGUGACUAUGCUGGUGAUUCUGAUGAUCGCAAAAGCACUUCUGGAUAUGUCUUCAUGCUAGGAACUGGGGCCGUUUCGUGGUCCUCCAAAAAGCAACCAAUUGUGACUUUGUCCACUACAGAAGCCGAGUAUGUUGCAGCUGCUGUUUGUGCAUGUCAGGCUUUAUGGUUACGCAAGUUACUGAUCAUUCUUAAGGUUCCUCCAGCUGGUCCUAUAUCAAUUUACUGCGAUAACAGUUCCACAAUCAAGCUAUCACGAAAUCCUGUACUUCAUGGCCGCAGUAAGCACAUUGAUGUGCGUUAUCACUUUCUUCGCGAUCUGGUUAAUGAUGGUACUCUUGCUCUUCAGUACUGUCCAAGUGAGGAACAACUCGCAGAUAUUUUUACCAAGCCGCUCAAAUUACCGGUCUUUCAAAACCUUCGACAACUACUUGGUGUUUGUUUGAUUCCUCCUUCAGUUUAAGGGAGGGUGUGUGUGUUUCUUAGUAGCUUGUAAACUGAAUGAUCAGCAGUACAUUCAGUUUAAGGGAGGGUGUUAACGUUAAAGUUUGAAUAAGUCUGUCCAACAGUUGAGUAGGUCUCAAACAUGGAUAAGUGUUUUGCUAUUUCAUAGGAAUCUUAGUUGCCGAAGGAGUCGUAGUUGGUUUAUGAUUGUGGUGAUAGGAAGCCGCAAUCCAAGAUAGUUUGUUAGUCAGGAUAGUCUAUAAAACAUCUGUCAGUCCAUGUAUUUUAAAGUCAAGUAAAUCAAUAACAAUUAGUAUUUGGUUUCUUUCUUUUGUUAACAGAUAUGCCAUAAGAGCAGUCUGCGGUGCUGGAGAAGGAUUAGGAUUUUGAGCCUCAUAAGCUAGGAGGUGAGCUCGGAGAGCCUGGAAACCGGGCAAGGUUCUAAAGUGCAGAGUGGCUGUCACAAUGACAUGAUAAUCUGGUCCUAAUCCACGAAGAACGGAUGUCACCAAGUCAUUAUUUGUCAUAGGUUGAUUGAUGGCAGCUAGGGAGUCAGCCAACGAUUUGGCAUGCUGGAGAUACUUAGAGAUAGAACGAAAACCCUUUUUGAUGUCCAUAAGUUGGAAGAGAAUAAGAGUGGUAUUAGCAGUAGAUAGGUCUGAGAAGUGAUCCUGGAGGCACUUCCAUGUCUGUUGAGCAGUGUCCAUACCAACGACCAAAGAAAGGAUCGGUUCGGGAAGAGUGGCAUUAAUAAUGCUCACCAAGCUUUGAUCGGUACGAAACCAUGAGAUAUAUUCUGGAUUGAGAGCGUGAGGUGCAGUACCAACGGCAGGAAGGUACUGAUCUGGCGCAGGAGGAUCCAUCAAUGAAACGCCAAAAGUUUUGCCCAAUAAAAAAAAAAAGCGAAUCUGCUUGCACCAAAGGAGGUAGUUUGAAUCAGUUAGUUUCACAGUCACCAAAUGAGAGAUAUUGGGAACUGAGAACUGAGAUCCAGAAGAAGCAUCACUAGAACCGCUUGAAGAAGACGAACCAGUAGUGGUAUUAUUAGAGGCUACUUCAAUCGACAUAAUAACAAAGUAUAGCAAGCAGUUUAGGCUGGCAGGAAGCAAAAAUUGUAGAGAAUAUCAAGACAGACAGAAAUGGCGUAGAAAAGGUUAGCGGAAGGAUGCAGGAGCGGCGGCUGAAGGCAGGAUCUAGGUCGUAUGACCCUUUGAUACCAUGAAAGUGUUUGAAGUUCAAGAUGAAUGUAUUCUUCUCUUCUUGAGGUAUUUAAAGAUAUUACAAGCCAAAUAAGGCAGUUAUACAAAUAAUAUAUAUCAUAUAUUUGGCAUAUAUUACAGGCCAUAUGUAGUAGAUAUAGGAAAUAUUCACACAAAUAACAUGUGCUAAACAUGGGCUAGUCUACACUAAGGAUUAGCUUUAACAAUUUUCCUUGACAAAACAACAAAUUAACCACUAUAACUCAUGGGGCUAGAUACAAAUGAUAAUAAAAUGGCAAAAAAAAUAGUGAUGUUAUUGUUAUUUACUUUUGUAAAUAAAAGAAAACAAUACUUGAGUAUAUUUUAAAAUGGAUGGAAGGUUAUGCAUUUAUUCAUGCCAUAUGAGAAAUUUGGGAAGUCAGGACUAAUACUUACCUAACAAACAUCUUGCCUUUACCAGAUGGUGUGGAUAUUCCCAUUUUAUAUGUGGUGACCAUUUCAGGAAAAAAGAAACUUCCUUUAGAAGACUAUAAAUAUAAUCAGGUCACUAUUUUAUGAGCAUUAUCAAAUACCUAAAACAAAAUUUUAUUCUGAUACGUAGUAGAUAAACUAAAGAUUGGUGGUGGUUUUUUUUAUCAAUCUACAAUAGGUUAAUUUAUUGCCAUGAACUAAGUGUGUUUGAGACUAAUGCCAUCAGGAAUUGAGGAUGCACUGGCCUUCUAAAAAUAUGCAAUUGUGUCUUCUUUGGGGGAGGAUCAACUAUCUAAUCAACUUGUAAAAUUCCCUUAGUUGAUUCAUGAGGUCGUAGUUUGAGAUUGUACCUCUUGGUAUUUUGAGAUAGUCCUAAGACGAGAUCUCCAACUUGUGAAUGUGAUUGUUGACCUUCAUCUUGUCAAGAAUGAUGAAACUUACAAUGAAAUGAGUGACAAAGAGCUGCUCAAUAGAAUUUCAAAAGCAAAUAAGAUUGUUGAAGCCUAAAUAUUUAUGCAAGACACAUGGAAAAUAUGCCAAUGAUUCAAUACCAAAAGUAAAAUUAAACGUUGCCCACCAACAUUACCUACCCAUGUUUUAUCUGGGAUGGAAAUUUAAAAUAAAUGUAACUAUAUUACAAAGCUUAAUACGUUCCAACAAAAAACUUUCAUCUCCAUGAUUCUAGGCUUCCAUUCUAGGUACUGUGCUUUCAAGUUUGCUUCAAACUAUAUAGUGUAUAUGAUUUGCUAAUAUAAUGUGCAAUGGUGUGUACAAUAUUCAGAGAGGAUCAAAUGUGUUGGACACCUCAGUGAACGAUUUGACUUCACAUUUCAUAUGACAGUUUAUGAGAUAAAGAAUCGUAAAAAACAACCAUAGAAACUGAGAUAUCCGUGAAUAGAUUUGAAAAAAAAAAAAAAAAAAGGACCACAUGUCUAACUUAUCUCUCGCCCACAAGUUUUUAUGGACAAAAUACCAUAUCCAAAAUAUUGUGCAGUUAACCAUGUUUGCCUAACAUGGAAGCAAUCCAACUUUACUGAAGAACUGGCCACUCAGCACUAAUACUCUGGGAAGUAAGCUAUUUUCACGGCUUCUGUGGAAAUAAUAAGGUUGUCUGGAGGUCUAGGAAGAAGGCACUUUUUGAGCAGUCAGUGAGUGUCUGCAGACGAAGGUUAUGGAACUCUGUGGUAUUGGCUGCUGGGUUCAGUAUUGAAAUCAGGGGAUCAUUAAGUAUCUCAUCUUUCAAUGGGGGAUAAUUUUGGGGUUCUAAUGUGGGAUAUUAUGUUGUACAUAUUCUACCUUGCACUUGUCUUUGUUUUAAUUUCUGAGCAUUGUGCAGUGCACCGAUAAACACAAAUUCAUGACAUUCUUGAACUCAUGCUUGCAGUUUUAGGGAUUCAAACAAAAAUUUAAAAUGGGUCAUCGAGUGACUGAUUAUUUUAGCCUGCUUCUGAUUAUAUCACCUGAACUAGUGAAAUAUACCCAUAAGCAAUGUAUAAUAGAGCGAUAGAAAACUCUAGAGGAAGGGAACAUAGAACUGAAUUUUAGGGGGGGGGAGGUUAUUAGUAGUUGAUGGAGGAAGGACUGAGUCUAAAGUCUAAACUAAAUAUAGCGCAUUUUCAAUCUUUGAAGUGAUUCCGUAUGUAGCCAUGAAGUGAAAUAAACAUUAGAUUGAGAACUUACAAAGGUAGUGAGCAUUAAGCAGGAGAGAUAAGAUACACUAGAUGACUAGAUGGACAGGUAUAUCAACAUAUCAACCUGAAAUUAUCAACACAAACAAAAGAAGGGGAUUAACUUGUAUAAAGAAAGGGAAAUUAAAAUUAGUAGAAAUUGGCAAUAGCAACUGGCAGUAUGGCAUUGCUGAUGAGGAACACUACAAAAUUGUGUGACAACAUAACUUUGAAUUAGAACCUUACUUGUAACAAUAAAAUGCUGACUUUGACAAAAAAAAAAAAAAAAAACUAAUGCAAUUUAACAGCUUUAAGAAUUAUGAUAAAAAAAAAAAAGACAACGGGUGUUUCCAUGAAUUAAUGGAGUGACAUAUAAUCAAAAUCUAAUUUUUUGCUCAGAAUCUUAAACCGAGAUAUUAAAGAACACCAUAAGAUACAACUUGAUAGCCAUGAUUUGAAGCAUGGAGGAGAGAAAGGUUACUAAGUGCACAUCUUUGUAUAUUAACUCACUUGUAAGACAAUAUACAUGAAAUUUGUAUAACUAUAUUGCAUAAUUAAAUUUGACGUUUUAAAGAUGGUUAUUAGAGGAGUAUACAUUCAUAUAUGUCAGAUUUGGAUAAACAGAAUAAAUUUUAAUAUCUGAGUUGUUAAACUAAAUAUGCUAGUAAAUAAGUAGCACCCCCACCCGGAAUGCGAGUUUGCUCAAUUGCUUUCUAUAACUGAAACAACAUAGAACCUCUAUUUUUUUCAUCUUUUACUUUAUAGAUUAUAAUUUUCUUUUUAACAUGAAGCAAACUGGGGUUAGGAACCUACAAGAUUAUACUAAUAAAAGAGAUGUUUACAUUAUAAGGUACAGAGUUCCUGCAGUGGUGGUUAGUCCUGCAAGGUAGUCUGCCUGCCACCCUAUUAGUCUUCUUUUCAAACCUUUGCAUUAGGUACCUAGCCGCCAGCAUUGUUGUAAUUUUCAUCAUAGAAAAUCUUCAUUGUUGAUAAACCUAAUCACUAAAUCAACAAACUUAAGAUACCAUCAUUUUGAAACUCGAUAAGUAAAACAUAAAAUGGAAAAUAAACCUCACACAUUUUUAUUUUAUUUUUCUUGUAAUGCACACACAAGGAUCGAUCAAUUACUCUAAUCACUAAACACAACAAACAAAAAGAAAAUUGAUUUUUGUUGCAAAUUAUAGUAAAGAUACAAGUAAAUGUUUUUACCUCCAUUGUAUUGGAUUUGUUCAAUUCAUAUAUCGUGUUACUUACGAUCCAUCAUCACUCAACUGAACCAUGGAGUUGUGAUUGGCGAAAGAAAAACCCCCCAAGUAAUGACACCAUUUCACUUCACUAAUUAGUGAAGAAAGAAGUUCAAUUAUCAAUACCCAAUACUUCCAUAAGAAAAGCUUGAUUCUCACUGUUACAUCCUUCCUUACUAAUAGAAUUGAAUUGAAGUAUCUAUAUUGACAUGACAUGAACUGAGUAAGAAGAAAGAGAUGUUUUGCUCUAAAACAAAUUUGAGCAAUCCAUUAUCCAUCCAUAAAAUGAAGAGAAAACUGCUAUGUGGAAUUACGUACUCGAUCAGAAUUCAGAAGUAGUAGUUAAUAAUGAUUUCAAUUGAAGUAUUGAUACCACUCAUCUCAGUAUAAAAUAAAAAAAUAAUAUAAGUUAUUUAAGAAUUAAGAGGGCU
rnacentral:lncRNA from 1 species